GCCAGUGUGGCGUAGCGGUUUGAGUGUUGGACUAUGAUUCUGGAGACCAAGGUUCAAUUCCCUGCUUGAUCU